rnacentral:rRNA from 1 species
UACGAAGGGGGCUAGCGUUGCUCGGAAUUACUGGGCGUAAAGCGCACGUAGGCGGCUUCUUAAGUCGGUGGUGAAAUCCUGGAGCUCAACUCCAGAACUGCCUUCGAUACUGGGAGCUCGAGUCCGGGAGAGGUGAGUGGAACUGCGAGUGUAGAGGUGAAAUUCGUAGAUAUUCGCAAGAACACCAGUGGCGAAGGCGGCUCACUGGCCCGGUACUGACGCUGAGGUGGCGAAAAGCGUGGGGAGCAAACAGG